ACAAUGCCUAGUGCACCAUUUUGCUACUGAUAUUUCUGUUAUCACAAAAGUGAUUGUUCUCUGAUAACUAUUUCAGUGAAGUGGAAGAAUUUAAUAGAAAGAUUGACAAACAAUUGAGGAAAGAAGGGAGACCAUUCAAUUGAGUUGAAGCCUACAGCCAUUCUAUCCAUGCAGCAACUGAUGGAAAAAGGGUUCGCUUUGGUGCUGUUGUCGCAAAAAUGACAUUAUAUAUAUAUAUAUAAAUAAACAAACAAACAUUCUUGAAU